rnacentral:misc_RNA from 1 species
UCAUCACAUCAAUUUAGAUGCAAAGUCAGACAAGGAUAAGUGCUAUAUUGUUAGGCAGAGAGGAAAUUCUAGAUUUGCCCAAGAAUGGUUUAGAAUACAGGAAGAAAGUGUUAUCUUAAACAAACAACUAGCUGGAUGCUUUGUAAAUCAACAAAAACUACCCUUUUGCCUUAACAUCAAGUCUUGAUAUUUUGCAUGAAUCAAUAGGAGGAAUGGUGCUCAGUUUUUUCGGUUGAAUACCUUCUAGGUACUGUUUCAUCUACCCUUAUCAGAAAUAUUACCAGAUGAGGAACUUUUUUACUUUCCCUACCGACAGUUUUUGGUUUUCUGUGGGGUGCUAGGUCUGUCCUCAUCAGAAUUGCUUUAUGCACACUUCACAUUCACAAGGACCGACCGCCAUUAGCAAGAAUUAAGAAGUUUUGGUCUCAUCCAAGUACGUACGGUCCCACUUGGAUUAGAUUUGGAUAUGCAAGUGUCCCAUCUUUGAAUGCAACUUUUGUUGGUUCUCGUGAGUUGCUUCUGAAAGUGAAAAAUUGCUUCAUUUCAUGCCCAGUAGUCUUCUGAAUAAAUUAACUACUUGUUGCUUUAUUGCUACGAACUGAAUAUUUACCUGAAGGGUGUUGUGGGUAAUGAUUUUUCUUUCUUCACCAGAGGAUGCUGUGCUGUUUAAUGGUUUUCAACUGGCCAAGUAAGUUUAGGAUUUGUACAAGCAGUUUAGUGAGAUUAGGAUGGAACUCUCAAAGGUCAAUGUUACGCUAAUUGAAUAGCAUAAGAUCCAGGGAAAGAAGGAUCAAAACCUUUCAACUGCAAAAUCAAUACACUGCUUAAUUUGACUAGAGCACUGGCCAACGCCUCAACUUGUGGAACAAAGUAUCCCUUAAUUAGGAACCCAAUUGAUGCAGUUGAUAAUGUUCUGAGAUUUGUUAUCAACUUGUGGAUCAAAGACUUGAGGCAUAUGUUUAGACUUGUUCAUAUAUUAUAAGAACCUGCAAUGCGAUAUUUCUCAAUCCCAAGUGUCGCAAAUGA